AGAGUUUGAUCAUGGCUCAGAACGAACGCUGGCGGCGUGCUUAAUACAUGCAAGUCGUGCGAGAACGGGUCCUUCGGGAUCCUAGUAAAGCGGCGAACGGGUGCGUAACACGUGGGCAACCUGCCUAUCAGUUUGGGAUAAGCCUUCGAAAGGGGGUCUAAUACCGAAUGACAUCCAGAGGAGACAUCUCCUUUGGCUCAAAGACGGUGAAAGCCGUCGCUGACAGAUGGGCCCGCGCCCCAUUAGCUAGUUGGUAGGGUAAUGGCCUACCAAGGCUCCGAUGGGUAGCCGACCUGAGAGGGUGACCGGCCACACUGGGACUGAGAUACGGCCCAGACUCCUACGGGAGGCAGCAGUAGGGAAUAUUGCGCAAUGGAGGCAACUCUGACGCAGCAACGCCGCGUGGAUGAUGAAGCUCUUUGGAGUGUAAAGUCCUGUCGCCAGGGAAGAAACGGCGGAUGAGGAAAUGCAUUCGCUCUGACGGUACCUGGAGAGGAAGUUCCGGCUAACUCCGUGCCAGCAGCCGCGGUAACACGGGGGGAACGAGCGUUGUUCGGAUUUACUGGGCGUAAAGGGUGCGUAGGCGGGUUGGCAAGUCGGGUGUGAAAUUCCAUAGCUUAACUAUGGACCUGCAUUCGAAACUGUUGAUCUUGAGUACUGGAGAGGUGAGUGGAAUUCUCGGUGUAGCGGUGAAAUGCGUAGAUAUCGAGAGGAACACCGUUGGCGAAGGCGGCUCACUGGACAGAUACUGACGCUGAGGCACGAAGGUCGGGGGAGCAAACAGGAUUAGAUACCCUGGUAGUCCCGACGGUAAACGAU
rnacentral:rRNA from 1 species